UACGUAGGGGGCAAGCGUUAUCCGGAUUUAUUGGGUUUAAAGGGUGCGUAGGCGGCGAGUUAAGUCAGCGGUAAAAGCCCGGGGCUCAACCCCGGCCCGCCGUUGAAACUGGCUGGCUUGAGUUGGGGAAAGGCAGGCGGAAUGCGCGGUGUAGCGGUGAAAUGCAUAGAUAUCGCGCAGAACCCCGAUUGCGAAGGCAGCGUACCGGCUCCACACUGACGCUGAGGCACGAAAGCGUGGGUAUCGAACAGG
rnacentral:rRNA from 1 species